rnacentral:misc_RNA from 1 species
UUUCAUGGCGGGCGGUACGUGGGGUGCGCGCAAGCGAACCCACCGGGUAAUGACGCUUAGCUACCGGUUUCCACACACGUACCGUCCGCCGCCUUU